GUUACGUUCUUUGGUAUCACUUAUUAUUUCCUUCAGGCAAACCACAUGUCAGAGGACUUCAAUCUGAAAAUGACAACCACAGUUUCCUAUUAGACAAGAAGUGACAGGUUACUGUAAUCCAGGGUUGAGAGUGAAGGAAGAUGCUGGGUCCAGUUUUG